rnacentral:rRNA from 1 species
GUUCUGGAAAGAACAGCCGUAGAGGGUGAUAGCCCCGUAUAUGAAAGGCAUAUUAAGAUGAUAAAUGAGUAGGGCGGGACACGUGAAAUCCUGUCUGAAUAUGGGGGGACCAUCCUCCAAGGCUAAAUACUCCUGAAAGACCGAUAGUGAACAAGUACUGUGAAGGAAAGGUGAAAAGCACUUCGAAUAGAAGGGUGAAAUAGAACCUGAAACCGUACGCCUACAAGCGGUCGGAGCAGCAUACAGCUGUGACGGCGUGCCUUUUGCAUAAUGAGCCUACGAGUUAAUUUUACUAGCGAGGUUAAGGUAUUAAGUACCGGAGCCGGAGCGAAAGCGAGUCUGAAUAGGGCGCAUAGUUAGUAGGAUUAGACGCGAAACCUUGUGAUCUACCCAUGGGCAGGUUGAAGCUCUGGUAACACAGAGUGGAGGACCGAACCGGUUGACGUUGAAAAGUCUUCGGAUGACCUGUGGGUAGGGGUGAAAGGCCAAUCAAACUGGGAGAUAGCUCGUACUCUCCGAAAUGCAUUUAGGUGCAGCGUCGUAUAUAAGUUUAUUAGAGGUAGAGCUACUGAUUGGAUGCGGGGGUUUCAUCGCCUACCAAUUCCUGACAAACUCCGAAUGCUAAUAAAUGUUCUACGGCAGUGAGGGCAUGGGUGCUAAGGUCCAUGUCCGAGAGGGAAAGAACCCAGACCAACAGCUAAGGUCCCAAAAUAUAUGUUAAGUUGAAACAACGCGGUUGGACUGCAUUGACAGCUAGGAUGUUGGCUUGGAAGCAGCCAUUCAUUUAAAGAGUGCGUAACAGCUCACUAGUCGAGCGGUCCG